GCGGAUAUGGCGGAACUGGCAGACGCACAGGAUUUAGGAUCCUGCGGAGCAAUCCAUGGAGGUUCGAGCCCUCUUAUCCGCACCA
rnacentral:tRNA from 1 species